UACGAAGGGGGGCUAGCGUUGCUCGGAAUUAUUGGGCGUAAAGGGCUCGUAGGCGGUUUGUCGCGUCGGGAGUGAAAACUCAGGGCUUAACCCUGAGCCUGCUUCCGAUACGGGCAGACUAGAGGUAUGCAGGGGAGAAUGGAAUUCCUGGUGUAGCGGUGAAAUGCGCAGAUAUCAGGAGGAACACCGGUGGCGAAGGCGGUUCUCUGGGCAUUACCUGACGCUGAGGAGCGAAAGUGUGGGGAGCGAACAGG
rnacentral:rRNA from 1 species